ensembl:snoRNA
AAGACUAUACUUUCAGGGAUCAUUUCUAUAGUUUGUUACUAGAGAAGUUUCUCUGAUCGUGUAGAGUACCGGAAACCACGAGGAGGAGACACAAUGUUCUCACCUGAGCGUGAAGCUGGCUUUGUGUGCUGUCAUGUGGCAGCUGCCAUUUGCCAUUGAUGAUCGUUCUUCCUCCUCCUCUGAGAGAGGAAGAGGGUGGGGGCGUCGUCUGAGUGGUU